rfam:Zostera marina strain Finnish scaffold_137, whole genome shotgun sequence.
UUGUGAUAUGAUGACGGAUAUUAUUUCCCUAUUGGUUUGAUAGUCGGUAUGAUGGCUACAUGUAUUAGCUCUAUCUGAUCAAAA